GGGGAAUAUUGGGCAAUGGAGGAAACUCUGACCCAGCAACGCCGCGUGGAGGAAGAAGGUUUUCGGAUCGUAAACUCCUGUCCUUGGAGACGAGUAGAAGACGGUAUCCAAGGAGGAAGCCCCGGCUAACUACGUGCCAGCAGCCGCGGUAAUACGUAGGGGGCAAGCGUUGUCCGGAAUUACUGGGUGUAAAGGGAGCGCAGGCGGACCGGCAAGUUGGAAGUGAAAACUAUGGGCUCAACCCAUAAAUUGCUUUCAAAACUGCUGGCCUUGAGUAGUGCAGAGGUAGGUGGAAUUCCCGGUGUAGCGGUGGAAUGCGUAGAUAUCGGGAGGAACACCAGUGGCGAAGGCGACUAACUGGACUGUAACUGACGCUGAGGCGCGAAAGUGUGGGGAGCAAACAGGAUUAGAUACCCUGGUAGUCCACACUGUAAACGAUGAAUGCUAGGUGUAGGGGGUAUCGACCCCUUCUGUGCCGCAGUCAACACAAUAAGUAAUCCGCCUGGGGAGUACGGCCGCAAGGUUGAAACUCAAAGGAAUUGACGGGGGCCCGCACAAGCAGCGGAGCAUGUGGUUUAAUUCGACGCAACGCGAAGAACCUUACCAGGUCUUGACAUCCACUUAAACUUACAGAGAUGUAAGGUGUGCUUGCACAAAGUGAGACAGGUGGUGCAUGGUUGUCGUCAGCUCGUGUCGUGAGAUGUUGGGUUAAGUCCCGCAACGAGCGCAACCCUUAUGGUCAGUUACUACGCAAGAGGACUCUGGCCAGACUGCCGUUGACAAAACGGAGGAAGGUGGGGAUGACGUCAAAUCAUCAUGCCCUUUAUGACUUGGGCUACACACGUACUACAAUGGCGUUAAACAAAGAGAAGCAAGACCGCGAGGUGGAGCAAAACUCAGAAACAACGUCCCAGUUCGGACUGCAGGCUGCAACUCGCCUGCACGAAGUCGGAAUUGCUAGUAAUCGUGGAUCAGCAUGCCGCGGUGAAUACGUUCCCG
rnacentral:rRNA from 1 species